rnacentral:lncRNA from 1 species
UUUGAUGAGACUCUCAGUCCUCUCCCCACAGACAACAACAUCAGAAAAGCUACUGAACGGGCAACUCCCCAUGCGGUCCAUGAACACACCCUGCAAGGUCCCGAUGAACAUGUCAGUCAGCUCUCUCUCCAACAUCGGAGGUUGCACUCUUGCGGCUAGUUCACGCCACCUCUGGGCGUACUCUUUGAAGCUUUCCCCCUUCUUCUGACACAAGUUCUGCAGUUGGGUUCGGCUCGGAGCCAUAUCCAUGUUGUGCUUG